AGUGAACGCUGGCGGUAGGCCUAACACAUGCAAGUCGAACGGCAGCACAGUAAGAGCUUGCUCUUACGGGUGGCGAGUGGCGGACGGGUGAGGAAUACAUCGGAAUCUACUUUUUCGUGGGGGAUAACGUAGGGAAACUUACGCUAAUACCGCAUACGACCUACGGGUGAAAGCAGGGGAUCUUCGCACCUUGCGCGAUGGAAUGAGCCGAUGUCGGAUUAGCUAGGUGGCGGGGUAAAGGCCCACCAAGGCGACGAUCCGUAGCGGACCUGAGAGGGUGAUCGGCCACACUGGGACUGAGACACGGUCCAGACUCCUACGGGAGGCAGCAGUGGGGAAUGUUCCGCAAUGGGCGAAAGCCUGACGGAGCACAGCCGCGUGAGUGAUGAAGGCCUUCGGCUCGUAAAACUAUGUUAGUAGGGAAGAACAAAUGUGUAAGUAACUAUGCACGUAUUGACGGUACCCACACAGAAAGCCCCGGCUAACUACGUG
rnacentral:rRNA from 1 species